rnacentral:sRNA from 1 species
UCCCAGGUGGUGUCAUAGAAGGACUCUC